rnacentral:lncRNA from 1 species
AUCAAUUCAUUUGUUCUGAAAGGUUUCGUCCAAAGAUUGACUUUCAGGGCAUAUUUACAACAGGAGCAUACUUAUGCGACUUAGUUAGCUUGUUCUUGUGCAAUUAUGUUGUUAUUUCUUAGUUAAUUUAGUAUUUCAAGCCAUUUUCGUGUGUUUGUAGGUCCAAAAGGCUAAAAUAGCAAGAAAGUACAUUUUGGAGCUUUUUGGAGCAGUUUUGAGCAUGGAAUGGAUAGCUUAUGAAUGGAGCAAGGGAGAUGGACGAACUUGAAGAUCAAAGGAGGCUAGGAAUGAAUAAUGAAAUGAAGAAAUGAAAAUGAAGAACAAAGAGUUCAGAAUUGGAAGCCAAAGUGUCUAAAGUUGGAAGUUUCUAUUCUUGGAGGUUUCCAUUCUUGAAAGUUUCUAUUCUUGGCUUGAAAGUUUCCUAAUCCUACCUCACCUAUGUUCCAGCC